CACGCGGUAGCUCCGUUGAAAGAGCAUUGGCCCCGAAAGCCAAAGGUCCCAGGUUCACGGUCCGGCUGCGUCA